rnacentral:rRNA from 1 species
CUCAGGGUGAACGCUGGCGGCAUGUUUAAGGCAUGCAAGUCGAACGUGUUUCGCAAGAAACGCGUGGCAAACGGGAGAGUAACACAUUGGUAACUUACCUUUAUCUUGGGUAUAACCCGGAGAAAUCUGGGACAAUCCCCAAUAGUCAUGGGGGGACGAUAGUCUCUCCAUGUAAAGCUUUUGCGGAUAAAGAGAGGCCUAUGGCUCAUCAGCUAGUUGGUAGGGUAAUGGCCUACCAAGGCGACGACGAGUAGCAGGUGUGAGAGCACGACCCGCCCCACUGGGACUGAGACACUGCCCAGACUCCUACGGGAGGCUGCAGUCAAGAAUCUUCCUCAAUGGACGAAAGUCUGAAGGAGCAAUGCCGCGUGAUCGAUGAAGCCCCUAGGGGUGUAAAGAUCUUUUAUCAGGGACGAAUUCGUGACGGUACCUGAUGAAUAAGUCACUGCUAACUUCGUGCCAGCAGCAGCGGUAAUACGAAGGUGGCAAGCGUUACCCGGAUUGAUUGGGCGUAAAGCGUCCGCAGACGGUUAAAAAAGUUCUUGGUUAAAUCUGGUGGCUCAACCUCCAGACCGCUAAUGAAUACUUUUUGACUAGAGACUGGAAGAGGCAAGCGGAAUUGCCGGUGUAGUAGUAAAAUGCGUUGAUAUCGGCAGGAACACCAAAAGCGAAGGCAGCUUGCUAGGACAGUUCUGACGUUCAGGGACGAAAGCGUGGGUAGCGAAUGGGAUUAGAUACCCCAGUAGUCCACGCCGUAAACGUUGGGUACUAAGCAUUGGGAGUAUCGACCCUCUCAGUGCUGUUUAAUUAAGCUAACGCCUUAAGUACCCCGCCUGGGAAGUACGGCCGCAAGGCUAAAACUCAAAGGAAUUGACGGGAGCCCGCACAAGCGGUGGAGCGUGUGGUUCAAUUCGACGAUAAGCGAGGAACCUUACCAAGGCUUGAAAUCUAGCUGCGUACUCUAGAAAUAGAGUAGCCUACGAGGGUGCUAGACAGGUGCUGCAUGGUUGUCGUCAGCUCGUGUCGUGAGAUGUUGGGUUAAGUCCCUUAACGAGCGCAACCCUUAUCCUAUGUUAAAUGGUCAUGGGAGACUGCCCCGGUUUAACGGGGAGGAAGGUGAGGAUGACGUCAAAUCAGCAUGGCUCUUACGCCUUGGGCAACACACGCGCUACAAUGGCUGGUACAAUGGGUCGCAAAACCGUAAGGUGAAGCCAAUCCCAUCAAAGCCAGCCCCAGUUCGGAUUGAGGUCUGCAACUCGACCUCAUGAAGUUGGAAUCGCUAGUAAACGCCAAUCAGCUACGUGGCGUUGAAUACGUCCUCGGGCUUUGUACACACCGCCCGUCACACCAAGAGAGUCGGUAACACCCGAAGACUGACCUAGUGUUGGAAUAAGGUGAGAUCGAUGAUAGGGGUGAAGUCGUAACAAGGUAACC